GUGUUGUAUGAAAGGAGAGGUUAGUUAUAGCAUUCCUCUUGACAUGAUGAGAGGUCCUCCUAGUGGCCUUCAACACAGAUAAGGCCUUGUCACCUACUGUAUUUUGUGGCAUCUCUUUCUCUCUUU